GCCACCCUCCCAGCCUCGCCUCUUCCUCCCUCUUCCUCAGGCGCCUCCUCCCUUCUCCUCAGGCGCCGUCCUCUCCUCUUCCCCGGCCCUAGCGCCGCCACCACAGCCUCAUUCCCCGUCGCCGUCUGACUUCCUCCUCCCACCCAUGUCCCCAUCAUGCCGUUCCCCUCCCCCAACGCCUAACCCUAGAAACGGAGUAGGAGUCUGCUUUGGGUCGCGUGCCGCCUCCGCCGCCUCCGCCGCCGGCUAUCUCCUCCUCCGCGUCGAGGCUAGGCAGGGCUGAGCGCCGGCCACAGAGAUGAAAGGUUGCCGAGCUUUCCGCGGUGUCCAUCCAUCCGCGGCGCUGUCGCCAUCGUGCUCCCGUCAAGAGAUGCUCGAGCGCCAGGAGAGGAAUUCACAUGAAUACCCCUGGCGCCGCCGAUGCGUGCACCCGGUAGGAGGAGCGCGGCUCAUCUCUCGCGCGGCUAGAUGGCGACCAGCGCAUACAGGCCCAAAGUGGCUCUCUCCGUAUCUCAGCUUCGUUCGCCGACGGGGAGCCGCUGCUAGGUAUGCCGGAUGCCCUGGAGAUGGUCAGAGUUGUGGUGCCUGCAAUUCCGGCUUCAUCUCCACACCUACAUGUUCACCUCUCCCUCUCUCCCCCAACCAACAACCGCAGCACAGACGGAGGAAAACACUGCCUAAAGAAAUGGAGCUCUAGCCUGAGCUUCUGAUGUGCCUUUUGAUCAUCUUCAUGGCAUUUGCAUCUAAUGAUCUGUACGACAAGAUUCAGUGUGUUCCUGGGACACUGCAAUGAUUUUUUUGCUGAAUGACUAAAGUGUGAACUGAAUAUAUGAGUUGUUGUCAUUGAAACUACAAACUGUGAAUGUUCUAGAUCAAGUAUGUGUACGUGGUUGCGUCUUUAAGAGGUCUUAAUAUAUGAGUUUCUGUCACUGAUAGAUAUACUAUGGACAUGCACGUUUUUGAUAAUUUGCUCCUUGGGAGGUCAGUUUCCUUCAAGUACAGCUAAAUCAAAGAGACACCGACUUAUUUUAGUACUUGAGAUUUUGAUUGCCAAUCUGCAACAAUGCCCAUGCCCUUUGGUAUUGCACUGAUAAUUUGCUCUUUGGGAGAUGGUUUCCGUCUUAAGUGUCUACAACAAAAGGGAUAAGCAGCACCGCAUCUGAGUACCAAAGCCAUCCAUGCCAUUCUGUAUUUCUCUCAUCAUACACUUGAUCAUAAAAAUCAGCUUAUUUUAUUGCGGCCCUACCAUUUAAGAUAUCAAACUACUGUUAUUGCAAUUGGUCUUGAAAUGCCACUAAACUGUUACUACAUUAUUUGCCACUGUUGUAUGAUUUAUUUAUCUAGAGGAACUUCUUUUAUUGGUGGGAAAAUAUAAGUAUCCUAUUAGUCUGCUGAGAUUUCCAAUGCGAUUCCUUACUAAUCCUACAAGUCGUGUUCUUGAUAUUAAGUUGACGUUACCUUUCCGAGACAUGUGUUUUCCAAUGAGAAUCUUUACUAAUCAUACAAGUCAUGUUCUAGAUUUUAAGUUGAGGUUAUCUUUCAAGUUAUGUAAACCUGAAAGUGGAAGCAUAAUGUACUACGUGAUUCGACUGACCAACACUGAACUUUUUACAUGUUUUCUUGUGUUGAUUCAGUCCCAUCUUUUUACAUCAUCUUCCACUUUCAGCUGAUAUAUCUAAUAGCUCUAAUGAACAUGUAAUAGCUAGCAGGGAAUAACUAAAGUCUUUGCAAUUUUUUACAUGUUGUCGUGCAUCGAUUCAGCCCAAUUGUGCCAUCAGAAUGACUGAUUCCGCCACUGUCAUAAGCCCGAGGUUCUAAUCCUAGAUACUAAGUGAGACCAACUCUGUUUAGCUCUUGAGAUUAUUUUCUAGCUUUUGAAUAAUAAUCUGCAAAUAGUACUUAUGUUUCUUACAAUCCUUCCGGCUCUAAAAUACACAUAUGCUUUUCUCUUUUUUGUACUUACUACUAAACUAUGUGUGUUGAACAAAGCAUGUCGCCUUAUUUUAGAUAAAUGAUGAUGUAGUUAUGGACGCCUUCUCAAUGCUACAUGUGUAGUUCCCAAAUUGGACAAUAUCUUUCUGCAAAGAUCUUCAAAUCACGAGUUGCAAGUAUGUGUGUGCUAUUCAAUCUAUUUACUGAGACAAGAGGCGUUUAUUUAUGUCCAUAUUUCUGUUGGAGAUUAUGGUACAUAGAAGAUCUCAUAUUAGAGAAGAGAAAAUUCAGUAUAUCUGUCGAUCUGGACAGUAUGUAUAUGUUUCUGGCACCUUUAUCCUUUAGAGCAAAGCCCAGUUUUCUAUGUUGAUCUUUCUUGAAUCUUUUGUUUUGUUGAUUCGAAUUAUUUAAGUGUAAUUUUUUUUGUACAAUUCCUUGAUUAUAUGUCAGUGUCAAGGCAUCUUUUGACUAUUUGAAUUAAUUUCCCAUUGUAUAUUUGACGUAUAUCUUGGAAGGAUGUGAAAGAACUUA